CCAUCGGUGGUUCAGUGGUAGAAUGCUCGCCUGCCAUGCAUGCGGGCGGCCCGGGUUCGAUUCCCGGCCGAUGCA